CUCCAUAACUUAACUUGCACAAGAAUCCUCAGCAAACAAGAUUGUAAUAACAACUAAAGAAAAUAUUACUGUAGAACACAUUCUUACCUUGCUUCCUAUCAAUAUGCUUCACUCUCAGCCAAAAAUUUCAUUUAAUAAAAACACAUUUAUAAUUUUUUUCCUUAGUUCUCCAAACAAAGUAACUGUCUCUCUCUGUAGUUUGAGUUUGAUACAAGACAAAAAUUUUAGGACAUUUUGUUUUGCUUUGUUUUUGAAAGAGAAAUAUUAUUCUGACAAUUUGGACUUUUAAUAAUGAGAAACAAAUUACACUGACAUUUACCUGGACAUUGACAACAGGAUGGGUGAACUAUUCAUGAAAUGUAAACUACAUCUUAAUAUAGCAUAUAUUUUGCUGUCAGCUCAGUUUAGACAUCUUAAGUGUUUUCAAGAGCAAGCAUAUCUUUUUGUAACCUCAAUAGCAGAGAUAUGCACUGCGUUGUCAAUUUAGGCACCACACAUAUACCAAUAUAGUAUAUAGAACUACAAUAUUUUCUUGCAGUUUUUGCAUUUGGAAUUUCUGUUGCAGGGGAGGAAAUUUUAAGGGGACUUUUUAUUAUCUUUUCAUUUUUAGUGACAGAUAUGGAGAAGGGAAUCAAAUUACUUGUAAUAUCUUACAUCAGUGAUUGUGUAUAAAAAGUAAAUUACGCUCUUUUUUUCCACUGUUUUGGUGCCUGGAUGUCUUUUACAUAACUUUGUUCUCCAGUAAAAUUCCAAUGCCCUUGCUCUUUGCUUAAGAGAAAAAAUGAAGCCUAUAAGCUCCAGGUAUAUCAAUCAAAAACAACAGAGUCAGCACUAACUCUAAUAAUGAAAACCAUGAUUUCAUAAAUCAUCUUCCACAGGUUGGGGUCAUCUUUUAAAAAUUUCUUAUCAGGCACAGCUCAAGAUUUCUCAGACUCUCACUCUUCUUUCUUUAAUGAAAACAAUAGGAAGGAUGUCAGCAUACAAAUGACAUGACCCUCUUUCACUUAAAAAGAUCCUGAAAAUGAAAAGACUAUGCUUUGCUUUGUCCUUGAAAUUGUGGAAGUCGGGUUUUUUACCUCCCCUCCCACAAAGUUCAAAGAAAAAGUUUAUCUCCAAGCUCCAUAAUGAAAUAAAAGUAUAUAAUAUUACAUGGACUUACUUUAAUAAAAUGUAGAUUUAAUUUUAAGAAGCUGGUGGUAGAGGAUACCUUCUCUACUAGCUGUAUUCACUACAUAACAGAUUAUAACUGCCUAUUUGGCUUUUGUUGCUAUAUAUCCUUAAGCAAACCAAGAGCCCUCUAAUAAUGGAAUUACAUAGUUUUAAUUCCAUCAAGAUGUUUCAAUGCAUUACUUUACAAUUUAGACAUUUCUGCAGUUUGAAAAAAAAAAAAACCCACUAGCAAAAUAUGAGCCCAUUGUUCUGUCUUUCAAGACUAAUAUAUGAAAACAAAAAAAAUAGAAAGAUUUAUAUGGCAUUAAAUCUCUACUAAUAAAACCCAUAUUUUUUAGCUGUCAACUACUGGAUCUGAUCCCCCACUGUGCUUCUGUACUUUUGCACUCACAUAGCCUGACAUGACAUCAACAUUCAAAAUUCCAUUUUUUUGCAAGCGUCUAAUCUACUCCCUCAUUAACAAAAUAAUUAUCUCCCAGUUAAAAAAGAACAAGCUAACAAACAAAACAAACAAACAACAAAAGCACAAAACAAACAAAAACCAAAAAACACCCCUCCAAACCAAACUAAAAGCCCAAAACAAAAGCAAAACCAAAAGCUAAGGCACAAAAACCUAUAGGAAGGAUAACCCCAAAUAUAGUUUCUAUCUGUAGAACUAAAAGAGUAUAGCACAAACAUGACAACUUUAAGAAGCAUUGCAUGACAACAAUAUCUACCUUAUUUAAUUGCAUCUGCACUAAUUUUCAAACAAAACCUGGGCUUGAUUUUUACUCAAAUUACAAAAGUUUCUAUAUUAUUAUGGGGUGCAUCAUGAUCGUUUGUUCAGUUUUGCUCUUACAGACUGCUCUAAAUGCUUUGGAUGCAUCUACACUGCUGGCUGAAAUGUGUCUUUAAAAACAGACACUGCACAGAGGGCAAAAAUGCAAACAGAUCCAUUCUGACCAAAGUACGCUUUCUGAAACAUGGCUGUGAGCUGGGAUCACGUUGGCUGAACUAUGUACCACCCUCUAUGAAGGAAGAGCUACAGCACUUGACUGCAAUGAGAAAUACCAUGUUGUGGAUGCUCUAUUGAAAAAAAGAUUUUUUUCUGUGCUAACACAAAUUAUUGCCUUUGACUGAAGCAGUACAAUUAGCUCAAAAUGUGAAGAGAAAAAACCGCAGGAGUGGUUCACAGGCAAGAAGGAAAAGACCUGAGAAUUUUAUAGCAAACCUGAUUUAAGCAGACCUCACCCUGACCUGGUGAUGUCAACUCCAGAGCACCUUGCUCCUAUGUUUAAAACACUCAGCAAAGCCUUGCUGCCAGCAUAUGUGAAAUCUGCAAUUUGAACUGCUGAAAUGCUCCUUGGUGGUAAUCCCUCUUCUGAAGUCCAUGUAGAAGGCUUCUGAGCAUGUUGCCUCAGGCAGAUAUUGCUAUUAACUUCAUAAAAGAGUUUGAGAUACUACACUGCAAAAUGAACAGUUCAGAUAUAAGCAGACAAUAUGACUUAGUAGAAAAAUUGUUUGACUUUCAGCAUUCUAUCACUUAGUAAGUGAUGGGAAACAUAAGAAAAUAUGUUCAAGCAGGAAACUGUUAUUUAUUAAGAAUUCAUCUUCCACACUGAACAAUCCCUGGGGUCUUGUCCCCAUUUCCUAAAGCAUUGUUCAUCUUGAGCUAUCAAAGUAAAUGUUAAGAUGCAAUAUUUGAAAUAGAGUUAUUUUACCAUUUGCUUGAGUAAUUUUUGUUUCUUCCUAUUCAGUCCAGGAUCUAUUUGGUUUCUGGGCCAAAAUUGCAUAUUUCCAGCUCAUAUCUAACUUUCCAUACACCAGCACCCCCAAGUCCUUCUUGUCGGGCUAUUCUAAAUCUCUUCAUCCCACAGCAUCUGUUCAUACUGGGGGUUGCCCCGAUCAGGUGGAGGAAUGUGCAUGUGGCCUUUCUGAAUCUCAUGAGGUUCCCAUUCCUGGCUAUCAGGGUUAACCCAAAAGAAGAAGAAGAAUGAUUCUGAAUCUAUCUAUCUAUCUAUCUAUCUAUCUAUCUAUCUAUCUAUCUAGCAUCUAUCACAUAAAAAGCACUUGACUUUGUAGGCAUAUGUACAUGGAAUGAACAUGAAAUAUAUUCAAACAAUACAUUACAUAUACACACACACACAGAUAUAUACAUAUAUAUAUAUAUAUAUAUACACACACACACACAUAUAUGUACUGAUUGAAAUGUUUCCAUUAUUGCAGAGCACAUAUACCACUAUAUAUUUGCAGCAAACUCAAUUCAUUUUGAGUAAAGGUUUUAGAGGAAAGGCCUUCAUAAGCAUUUCAUAAACAAACACAUUACAAGUCUACUGAUGGUCUAGCCAGCCCUAUAGCUGAAGGAUUGCUUCUACAUGUCAUAAUCCUAUGAAUUGUGGAAGAGUCAUCCUUUACAUUAGUAUGAGUACAUACUCCUUAGAAUUCACAGUAUAGAGCAGAUUCCUACUCUAGGCAAGUCUUCCAAAGCUCUGUGCAAAUUGAUUGGCUCAUAAGACACGCUGGCAAUAAAAAUUUCAGCACUUCACACUAAAAAAAAAAAAAAAUUACAUUUGAGUCCUUUUUAAAAUAAGUACAGACUUUAGAAUGCAAGAUCUAGGCAAAGAUACAGUCUAUCCCUUUCCAAUAAUGAGAAGACAGACAUCCAAUCUCACAAGACAACUACUCUGUUGUGAAAAUAUUUUCUGUGUCAAUACAACAGCACCAAUCCAAACACAAAAUAAUGUGCGUAAAGAAAUAGAUAUUUUAUGCUCCUUUUUGGGGUAUUGGGCAUUGUUUGUUUGUUUGUGGGUUUUGUUGGCUGGUUAGUUGGUUGUGGGAUUUUUUUGAGUUUUUUAAUUUGUUUGUUUUGGGUUGUUGUUUAUUUCUUAUUUAUGGGUUUUGUUGUGGUGGUGGCAGGAGGUUUUUGGGGGUUUUUAACGUUUCUUGGUUAAUCAGGUGUAUCUAGUGGAUUUUAUAAAUUAUAAUUUUUUAUUCCUCUAUUCUAUGGGGCUAUUGUUGCUAAGAUGAAUGUAAUAUGGCAAAAUAGGAUGGUUUUAAAAGAAAUUAACCAAUCCUUGCUAAGGUUAAGAAAAUAUAUUUUUAAUAUUAUGAGAACUCAGUAUAUGUCAUCCUAAUGUGAUUUGAAUCCCCCUGUUUUACAAGGAAUUAGUGUAUCAAAAAAAAGACUACAUUCCUCUUUCUCAUUUAUUACUAACCUAAGGAAGUAUAUAAUAAUUCAAUUUAAUUUAUAUUUCCCCAAAGAAGUGAAAUUCAGUGGAUAAUAAAUGCAGAGCUUCUGUAUUAAUAACACCUAGCUGGAGACAGUAGAAUACAUAUGGCAUGUAGUGGUUACAAUUAAGUAGGAAGACCUGAGACAGAGGCAUUUACAUCAGCAGCUUUGUACUGCUUAGGAAAAUAAUGGACCCUGAGGCAAAGCUGAGGGACUUAUUUAUCUGCAAUGAUUAAAACUAUUGAUAAUUCCCAAAGUGGUAGGUUCAGCUGCUGUUCCAAAUUAUAUUGCUUAAGAUAUUAAUGAGAAAACAGAAACACUGUCUGUGCUAUUUAGUUAAUACCAGAGGCCAUAUUUCAUUUGCCAUUUCUACUUUAGAUAAUUCUACAUUCAAAUUGAGAUUAGUCUACAUUACUAUUGUUGAUUUUAUGUUUUAUGAAAUGUACCUUGGCUUAACCCUUCUAUUAAGAUAACACGAUAGCAUUACUGCUGUGCCAGGUCUUUUGUGAUACCUGAAGAAUAUCUUUAUUGUUAUUUACAUUUUCACUUAUUUCUAUUUGCCAAUAUUUGGGUAUUAAUACAAGUUAGAAUUAAAUUUUUAGUUAAGAUUAAAAUCAAUUCCAUAUAUUAUAUAUUGUUUGUUUGUAGAAACAGUGAAAUGUUGAGUACUGUAGAGAUCUGCUACCCACAGAGAAGAGUAGUAGAGCUGUCUUCCCUGUAAUCAUUACUCUGAAAUGAUGCUUGACACUGAUCUCCAUUCAAUGCCGUCUUUGUUAACACUGAAAGUUAUCCUAUCAAGUGGGAUUAACAAUGAAAUAUUCCAUCUAAGCAGCAACACAUAAGAAGAGCAGGGAUCACUGGCUCAGUCAGUCACAUGAAGAUGCAGUCAGAAGCCAAGCAAUGAGUUGAAGCUUUGAUUGUAAAUUGAAGUAUGAAAUUAUUUUGUCAAAUUGUGCUGUUUGACAGUGAGAAAGAUUCAUGAGAAAAACUAUAGAACGGGUGUUUGGGACAUGAGAUAGUAGAAAGCACAGGACUCAAAAAAAUCACUUCUGAUAAGCAAUAAUCCAUUAUUAGAAAUAAAAAAAAAAAAAAGACUAACUAUUUAAUAGAUUAAAGUCAUUACUUUGUGUCUCCCUAAGCAUAAGGAGGCUUUAUACACUCAAAUUACCACAUUAAAGCCUUCAACCCACAAUCUUUUCUAUGUCAGUUGUUCUAAUUGCAUAUUCAAAAAUAGUUUUGACAGAUUGCUUUUGUCCUGUUUGGGAAGCCCCUAUUAAUGGCUGAUCAGUAAAGAGAUUAAGGACAAAAACAAAAAAACAAACAAACAACCCCCAAAAAACAACAACAAAAAAAAA
rnacentral:lncRNA from 1 species